AGAUAAUUAGAGCUGAUGAGCUGCAGAUGUGACACCUGCGCUGUGGCCUUUUUAAACCUCACAGGUGACUUCCAAUUGUGCUUGGUUGCUGAAACAAUGGGAGCUGUUUGGACCAUUCUUUUUUGUCUGCUGACUGUUUGGCUUGCUAGAGUCAAUGGAUCAAAUCACAGACGGGAUGAAGUGCUGCAGAGGGAAAAGACAGGCCUUGGAUCCAAUGAUGGUUCUAUACAGAGAGCGCUCGCCCUGCUCCAGUCAAUAUUGAGUCAAAAUGUUGAUGAAGUGCAACAGGAAACUAAUGAAGUGGACACUGAGGCAUCAGUUGAGAACUUGAAAUUUAAACAGCCUUUGAAAAAGCCCAGCAAAGUUAAAACUGAAACCCGCCCCCUGAAAACUAACAGCAGUGACUCCAACGCCACGGCGGGCGGCCUGCACAGUGACUCCAACGCCACGGCGGGCGGCCUGCACAGUGACUCCAACGCCACGGCGGGCGGCCUGCACAGUGACUCCAACGCCACGGCGGGCGGCCUGCACAGUGACUCCAACGCCACGGCGGGCGGCCUGCACAGUGACUCCAACGCCACGGCGGGCGGCCUGCACAGUGACUCCAACGCCACGGCGGCGGCCUGCACAGUGACUCCAACGCCACGGCGGGCGGCCUGCACAGUGACUCCAACGCCACGGCGGGCGGCCUGCACAGUGACUCCAACGCCACGGCGGGCGGCCUGCACAGUGACUCCAACGCCACGGCGGGCCCCCCCCCCCCCGGCCUGCACAGUGACUCCACGCCACGGCGGGCGGCCUGCACAGUGACUCCAACGCCACGGCGGGCGGCCUGCACAGUGACUCCAACGCCACGGCGGGCGGCCUGCACAGUGACUCCAACGCCACGGCGGGCGGCCUGCACAGUGACUCCAACGCCACGGCGGGCGGCCUGCACAGUGACUCCAACGCCACGGCGGGCGGCCUGCACAGUGACUCCAACGCCACGGCGGGCGGCCUGCACAGUGACUCCAACGCCACGGCGGGCGGCCUGCACAGUGACUCCAACGCCACGGCGGGCGGCCUGCACAGUGACUCCAACGCCACGGCGGGCGGCCUGCACAGUGACUCCAACGCCACGGCGGGCGGCCUGCACAGUGACUCCAACGCCACGGCGGGCGGCCUGCACAGUGACUCCAACGCCACGGCGGGCGGCCUGCACAGUGACUCCAACGCCACGGCGGGCGGCCUGCACAGUGACUCCAACGCCACGGCGGGCGGCCUGCACAGUGACUCCAACGCCACGGCGGGCGGCCUGCACAGUGACUCCAACGCCACGGCGGGCGGCCUGCACAGUGACUCCAACGCCACGGCGGGCGGCCUGCACAGUGACUCCAACGCCACGGCGGGCGGCUGCACGUGACUCCACGCCACGGGGCGGCGCACAGUGACUCCAACGCCACGGCGGGCGGCAUAUAUAUGAAGCGACUGAAGCUGGUGCUGGAGGACUUGACUUUGGCCUUGGAAUCCUACACUAAUUCCAGUUCCACAGUCCUGACACAAUAGCAAGAAGACUGCUGGGUUCUUUAAUAUUGUUGGGAACAGUUUUGAGGAACCAUGCAUGAGUUGAGAUUGCCUCUAAAAUGUGUAUCCAUAUACCUGCGUUGUUCUGCCUUGAAUAAAGCGCUUAACUUCAA